UACGUAGGAGGCAAGCGUUGUCCGGACUUACUGGGCGUAAAGAGCGUGUAGGCGGUUCGAUAAGUCGGACGUGAAAUCUCCACGCUCAACGUGGAGGGGCCGUUCGAUACUGUCGUGACUCGAGUCCGGUAGGGGAGUGUGGAAUUCCCGGUGUAGCGGUGAAAUGCGCAGAGAUCGGGAGGAACACCCGUAGCGAAGGCGGCACUCUGGGCCGGUACUGACGCUGAGGAGCGAAAGCGUGGGGAGCAAACAGG
rnacentral:rRNA from 1 species